rnacentral:rRNA from 1 species
UGGGGGAUAUUGCACAAUGGGCGAAAGCCUGAUGCAGCGACGCCGCGUGGGGGAUGAAGGCUUUCGGGUUGUAAACCUCUUUCGCUAUCGAACAAGGCCCGCUUAGGGUGGGUUGAGGGUAGGUGGAGAAGAAGCGCCGGCUAACUACGUGCCAGCAGCCGCGGGAAUACGUAGGGCGCGAGCGUUGUCCGGAAUUAUUGGGCGUAAAGGGCUUGUAGGCGGCUUGUUGCGCCUGCUGUGAAAACGCGGGGCUUAACUUCGCGCGUGCAGUGGGUACGGGCAGGCUUGAGUGUGGUAGGGGUGACUGGAAUUCCAGGUGUAGCGGUGGAAUGCGCAGAUAUCUGGAGGAACACCGAUGGCGAAGGCAGGUCACUGGGCCAUUACUGACGCUGAGGAGCGAAAGCAUGGGUAGCGAACAGG